AGUGAACGCUGGCGGCAUGCCUAAUACAUGCAAGUCGAACGGCCACACAGUAAGAGUUUGCUCUUACGGGUGGCGAGUGGCGGAUGGGUGAGGAAUAGAUCGCAAUCUUCUAUUUCGGGGGUGACAACGUAGGAACACUUACGCUAAUAGCGCAUAUGACCUACGGGUGAAAGCAGUAGAUCUUCGGACUUUUCGUGACACAUUUAGCCGAUGUCGGAUUAGCUAGUUGGCGGGGUAAGGGCCCACCAAGGCGACGAUCCGUAGCUGGUCUGAGAGGAUGAUCAGCCACACUGGAACUGAGACACGGUCCAGACUCCUACGGGAGGCAGCAGUGGGGAAUAUUGGACAAUGGGCGAAAGCCUGAUCCAGCCAUGCCGCGUGAGUGAUGAAGGUCUUCGGAUUGUAAAGCCCUGUUAUUAGGAAAGAAAAAAUGCGGAAUAAUACCUGGACGUUUUGACGGUACCCAAAGAGAAAGCAACGGCUAACUACGUG
rnacentral:rRNA from 1 species